CCCCCAGACUUGAGUCGUCCGCUUGAUUUAGUUCCCCUUCAGCGGAGAGAUCCGUUACUAGAAUUGCCAUAUAUGCCCGCACGUGAUUCCGUGCAAGAGGAAUCCCCAAUAGAUGCCUAUCUUAGAAGACCAGCCAGGAGAGAAAGUAUUCGUUGGAAGUAGAUGGCGGGCAAGAAGUCUGAGUUCAAGUUAUCCUAGAAGCGUGCAAGAGCUACCGAGUCCGAGUGUCUGUUGACUCAUUUGGAGGACGAAGUAAACACAGAAGACUUUGAAGAGGGUGACAUUUAUGCUGGCACCUAGGCCAUAGAUUAUCUUGAAGACAAUAUGGAGAUUAAUCCGCCAGAGAGAUUGAUGACUGCGGAAGAGAUUAAGGGAAUGAGAGAGCAGUACUGUAUUCCAGGCACUGUCGGGCUACGGCUGCUGAGGAAGGGUGAGUCCGCGCAUGAUCCUCCCGAGGGUCACAUAGCCAUUCAUCAUGCGCAAGUGAAGAUGGGAUUGUAUCUUCCGCUGAACCCCUUCAUGCAACGCAUUCUGUCUAGGUUGAAAGUUUCUGUUGGGCACGUUUUGCUCAUCAUGCUGCGAGUGUUACAAGCUUUCCAUGUAGUAUGGCGAGUUUACAGGUUAGGAUUUCCCACUAGAGCGGAAGUGAUGCAUUACUACGCUCUGCAAUAUUCCCGAAAGCAGAAGUGUUCUGGGCCCUUUGGCUUGACCUCUCGGAGGGACAUCAUGAAGGACCAUAGGAUCUUCGUGGACGCUCCCAACUUGACCACUAACUGGCACACGACUGUGUGCUUCGCGUAUGGGGAUUGGGAGAGAGGUAGGAGUAACACUAUUGAUCGAUAUGGCACUGAUGACGUUCCACAAAAGUGUCAAACUAAAGAAGACCUGUUCAUUCUGCUGUGUGACUGAGAAUUGGUGAGCUUGAAGCGGAUUAGGCAUAUAGUGAAGGAGAAAGGUCCAUUCAAUAUCACCAAGCUAACGUGCUAAGACACAUUGAACAGCUGUGGCAUAACACUUAGGCCAAAAAGUGUUGAUGGAUGAUGCCACCCAGGAAGUGCGGAUACAAGAAGGUUAGCACCAGAUUAAGCGGCCCAAGUCCUUGAAGUUGACGGAA